GUAGGUGGCAAGCGUUGUCCGGAAUUAUUGGGCGUAAAGCGCGCGCAGGCGGUUCUUUAAGUCUGAUGUGAAAGCCCACGGCUCAACCGUGGAGGGUCAUUGGAAACUGGAGAACUUGAGUACAGAAGAGGAAAGCGGAAUUCCACGUGUAGCGGUGAAAUGCGUAGAGAUGUGGAGGUACACCAGUGGCGAAGGCGGCUUUCUGGUCUGUAACUGACGCUGAGGCGCGAAAGCGUGGGGAGCAAACAGGAUUAGAUACCCUGGUAGUCCACGCCGUAAACGAUGAGUGCUAAGUGUUAGGGGGUUUCCGCCCCCCUUAGUGCUGCAGCUAACGCAUUAAGCACUCCGCCUGGGAUACGGCCGCAAGGCUG
rnacentral:rRNA from 1 species